UAUCCUGGCUCAGGAUGAACGCUGGCGGCGUGCUUAACACAUGCAAGUCGAACGAAGCACCUGAGAAUGAUUCUUCGGAUGAAGUCUCUUGUGACUGAGUGGCGGACGGGUGAGUAACGCGUGGGUAACCUGCCUCACACAGGGGGAUAACAGUUGGAAACGACCGCUAAUACCGCAUAACCCGCUGGUGCCGCAUGGCACUGACGGAAAAGAUUUUAUCGGUGUGAGAUGGACCCGCGUCUGAUUAGCCAGUUGGCAGGGUAACGGCCUACCAAAGCGACGAUCAGUAGCCGGCCUGAGAGGGUGAACGGCCACAUUGGGACUGAGACACGGCCCAGACUCCUGCGGGAGGCAGCAGUGGGGAAUACUGCACAAUGGGGGAAACCCUGAUGCAGCGACGCCGCGUGAGUGAAGAAGUAUUUCGGUAUGUAAAGCUCUAUCAGCAGGGAAGAAAAUGACGGUACCUGAUUAAGAAGCCCCGGCUAACUACGUG
rnacentral:rRNA from 1 species